UGUGCUCCUGGGACACGCUCAGGUGACACACACCAGGGUACCUGAUGUGCCUGUUUGUGAGGAUGAGGAGUCCUGAGCUGAAUCACUGAACCUUUGCCAAUGCAAAUUUGCUAAAUCUGGGAAGUGUUUAGAGUUCCAACUCUCAAACUUCCAAAUUUGUGCUGAAGAAAGGCUUGCUUGGACUCAUUGCUCAUCUGCAAGAGGUGCUUGCUUGCCUUGUCCAGCUGGCAGCCUUCCCAGGUGCUGCAUCCACGUCCCCAGGCAGCAGUCUCACAUCACAUCACCCCAGGGGAAGGACCCGUGCUGCUCACGACAGCAAGGGAGGAGAUUGGAAAGGAGCUUUCAAGGAAGAAAACAGGAGGCUGCCCUGGAUGGGAUCUCAAAGCCUCUGCUCAUCCUCACCCUUGUGUGGAAACACAAGGGGCUGAAUCUGGCCAUGUCUUAAUCAGAGGGGCCCUUCUGAGGAUCUCAGCAGCAUCUUCCUUGCAUGGAUCUGGUCCUGGAACUGAAGUGAGAGUUGUCCUCUUUCUGGGCUGGCAGUUUUUCCCUAGAACUGAGGUGGAAGGAAUCAGGGAUGGCAUUGUUGUCUUGAGAUAUGUCAAACUGGACCUUGCUGUCUUCAGACCACAAUAUUCUCUUGAGAUAAAUCACUUUAAGAAAUAUUGUUUUGCAAAUUUUGUCUUUUCAGUCAUAACAUAUAUAUUUUUUACUACUAUAUCUUAAUCUUAUUGAAACAUUUUCUCUCUUCAAAAACCUACC